rnacentral:lncRNA from 1 species
AGUUGCAUGGAUCUACGCUGGACAUAGCUCAAAAACAAUGCAUGAGAAAGAAUAGAAAGAGCAUUGGACAUGGAGCCUCUGUAGGGCUGAAUUCCUGCUCACCACUUACUCCUGAUACUGGGAAGAUUUUCAACGUCUCCAAGACUGGGGUUUUUCAUUUGCAAAAGGAGGGCUGCAGGAACUUGGAGUACUACAUGUAAUAACAUACUGGUCAUCACUCUUGGCAAAUAUUGAAAGCUUCACUUGGUCCCUGACACCUAAAGGAUAAAGAAGAGCUUGAUGAUCUGAUGUGAGGAGAGAAGUUGGAUGAAACAACUAUGGUCAGGCUGUCAGAAAAAGGGCAUUUUCGUGUAGAAUUGGAAGGGAUUACAUGGUGGGCAGAGAAAGAGCAGCUGAAACACGUGUUUUAAAAUUUGCAGAAUCUUGGCCAGGUGUGGUGGC